GUCCAGUUCACAUCCGAAUUGUUGGAGUAUGGGAGGGAAGUCGUCCAAACUUCUUCCAUACCUCUCGCAACCACACAUCAGCGAGCACCAGUGACUGAGGAUGGCGAUGGUUUCGUCUCUAAGAUAGCACAGAGGGAUUGUGAGCUCUAGCUUGAAGCAUGCCGAGUAGAGGUGUCGCAGAUGGCAAGGAAAAGUAAAGAAAC
rnacentral:misc_RNA from 1 species